rnacentral:lncRNA from 1 species
GUAAUUGGAAUAUUACAGGCAUGAUACCAAGUACUUUAUAUACACUACUUCAUAAUCUAAAAAGCAGUUAUUAUCGCUAUUUUGCAGAUCCAAAAAUGGAGGCACAGAGUUUGUUACCCUGAUCACCUAGCUAAAGGUGCAAGAGGAGGGGUUGAAGUCAGGUCUCCUGAAUCCAAAUCUUGGCGAUGUUUAAGCUAAGGUGUACUACAUUUUGCGAGCUAGCUGAUAUCAAAGAAUGAUGAAAACCUCGCCCGCUCCCCUGUCUCACGACGCUCCGUGCGGCCGUGUGGGUGCCGUUUACAGCUCCAUCGAGUGUGUCACGUCCAUGAGCUGAUUUGGCAUCUACUGCCGCCCACCCGUGUUGUAGCGCGUAGACCGGGGCUCAGAGAAGGACAGCAACUUGUUCAAGAUUGUGCAGUCAGUGAACGUAUUAAUAGUCGACCCAGGUGUUCUCUGCUUCUUUCUGUUUUGCACGUAGAAGGUUUUGAAAAAAAAAAAAAGACCAUAAUUCCUGUGUGAAUCAUUGAAAAAUUCCAUUCUUUACCCUGACUCCCAAAUGCCAACUCUUCUCCCCAGAAAUAGCCACUGUGACUGGCUUCUUGUGUGUCCAUCUGGAUAUCAAACAUAAUAAAAUUAAUGAAGUUGGGACUGGUUGGGAUUCA